rnacentral:misc_RNA from 1 species
GAUGAAGAACGUAGCGAAAUGCGAUAAGUAAUGCGAAUUGCAGAAUUUCCGUGAGUCAUCGAAUCUUUGAACGCACAUUGCGCCCGCCAGUAUUCUGGCGGGCAUGCCUGUUCGAGCGUCAUUACAACCCUCAGGCCCCCGGGCCUGGCGUUGGGGAUCGGCGGAAGCCCCCUGUGGGCACACGCCGUCCCUCAAAUACAGUGGCGGUCCCGCCGCAGCUUCCAUUGCGUAGUAGCUAACACCUCGCAACUGGAGAGCGGCGCGGCCAUGCCGUAAAACACCCAACUUCUGAAUGUUGACCUCGAAUCAGGUAGGAAUACCCGCUGAACUUAAGCAUAUCAAUAAGCGGAGGA